UGUUAACGUUAUUAACCGAGUAGCAUUUCCAUUUCUCAUUAGUUGUUUUAAAAUAUGUAGGAGUUCAUAUAGAGGGAUUUUAAUAUAUAUUUGGUUUGAUUUUGAUUACUCUUCAGAUAAUGCCUGUCUCUAUGAAACAAUCAAAGGCCCUGAAGAACCUGCAAAUGAUGAAUCCAGGGAUGUCACAUAUUCUGUGGUCAAGCUCAAAAACAUUUCUAAGAAGGGGAAGAAAAAUGAACCGGAGGAUUGUGUUUACUCACAUGUGCAGAUGGCAUCAGCUGCAGGGAAGUCAAGUCCUGCACCAGCGGAUGAAACUGUUUAUUCUGAACUCAAACCAGGAACAGCUCUUGGUAAAA